rnacentral:rRNA from 1 species
AGAUUAAACUGAAGAGUUUGAUCAUGGCUCAGAUUGAACGCUGGCGGCAGGCUUAACACAUGCAAGUCGAGCGGAAACG